rnacentral:rRNA from 1 species
CCUACGGGUGACAGCAGUGAGGAAUAUUGGUCAAUGGGCGCGAGCCUGAACCAGCCAAGUCGCGUGAAUGAUGACUGCCCUACGGGUUGUAAACUUCUUUUAUAAAGGAAUAAAGUGAGGCACGUGUGCCUGUUUGUAUGGACGUUAUGAAUAAGGAUGGGCUAACUCCGUGCCAGCAGCUGCGGUAAUACGGAGGAACCGCGCGUUAUCCGGAUUUAUUGGGUUUAAAGGGAGCGUAGAGGGGUUGUUAAGUCAGUUGUGAAAGUUUGCGGCUCAACCGUAAAAUUGCAAUUGAUACUGGCAGUCUUGAGUCCAGUUGAGGUAGGCGGACUUCCUGGUGUAGCGGU